ACAGGAAGCCGGUGUGAAUCCGGCACGGUCCCGCCACUGUGACCGGGGAGCGCCCCUCCGACACGCCACUGCGCACCGCGCGGGAAGGCGGGGGGAACGUCGAUCCGGGAGUCAGGACACUG
rfam:Streptomyces sp. H-KF8 tig00000138, whole genome shotgun sequence.